rnacentral:rRNA from 1 species
UCGCUACUACCGAUUGAACGUUUUAGUGAGGUAUUUGGACUGGGCCUCGCGCGGCUUGCGUCGCACGUGUGCCCGGGAAGACUCCCAAACUUGAGCGUUUAGAGGAAGUAA